rnacentral:misc_RNA from 1 species
AUCGAAUGCUUAUCCUAGAUAUAGAGUCCACUGAGCCGAAAUUGACUUUUUUAAGUAAAGUCCUUUCGUUCUUUCUCCUGAUUCCUGUGGGUAAGAAAGAAUUGGCUAAAAUUCACAUAGAACCGAUGUGGACAAGUCCAAUUGUAGAUCAUGCUUUGACUUCAACCCGAUUCCUCGACUCCUAGAAAGUGUGCCGUGCCGUACCCGUAACUCUUAUUAUUA